CAAUUGUUUCUUUUUCCAGAAUUUGCUGUUUGGGCAAGAGGCACCUCUACUUCUGCUUCCCUCUUGAGGCUGGUUUGGUGACUAUGGGCACAGAGAGUUCCGUGACGUGCAUUGGAUAGCUUGGCGGGGGAUGCGAUGGCAACUUAAUAUUGAGGCGCCUGAUAUGACAGCUGUGACAGAGCAAGUGGCCCUCUAAUGGGUAACAACGAUGGCCUUCCUCAUCAUUGAGCUGCAAGCCACAAUCCUAGAAGAAAAAUAUACAUUCCAGUUUUAUGAGAGACUCAGGUAGGUCAUCUUAUAUCAACACUGAUUAACCCUGCAAGCUCGCUCUCACGCCACAAAAGACAGCAACAUCAAGAGUUUAUGGUAGACGGGUCCUGUCUAUCCUGCAUUAAACAAAAUGACAUCACUAAAAUCUACUAGGACUAGCUAUAGUAAUUCUAGCCAAAUUCUAGCCCAAUUCUUUUUCCUCUUUCCAUCUUUUCAAUGUCGAUGCAAAUCAAACAAAAACUCUCUAAAACCUAUUCCUUUUUCUGUAAUAAGAAAGUCCAUUUCUUCAGUGGAUUUCAGUUUCAGAUUGAGAAUCUGUUGAGGUUUUGCUGCAGCUGUUAAGCUGUCACACCAGGAAAAGACGACACAGGAAAGUAGAAAAGUUUCCAAGCUUGACUACUGACUUUGCAUGAUGAACAAAUGGUGGAUGACAACUUAAAUGACAUUUCAUACAAACUGGACAUUUGCAAAGUGUCUGUGUGCAUACCUCAGAAUACUGGUACUGACUGAACUAGCAUAGCUGGAGACAGCAGUGACCCAGUGUGUACAGUUUGAGAGCCUAAUUUGAAGCUAUUAAGCAGUAACCUACCCCUGCCAACACAUGGCUAACCUCUGAUUACUGUACAUAAAUGUUCUCUGCCAUUCUCAGCAGAUGUGGAAGCAGCUUAAUUUGCCUCAAACUGAAAAGAGAAUGGGUAAAUGAAUAAUGAAACAGAACAGAAAACAAACCCCCAUUGGGACAUUCUAAUAUAAUGUCAAUAGGCUGAGAAAGAAGGGGAGGGAGCUGUCAUCUAAAGUGAAGCCUGCACAAAGCAAUAGUUGAGGGAAGAAGGGAGGGAAGUACAGCUCUCCACAUGCUGAAAUGUCCUAUGCCAAUUUAUCUUGAGUAUCAGCUACCUCUGUUGGAAGGAGCUGGCUAGGCUCAUAGGCUCAGGUGUAGGUCCUGAAACAUACAUUUCAGAAUGCCCCAAAUUUUGCUAUCCUUCUCCCUCAAUUGGAAACCUCUCCAUAAAACCAUUUUUGAGCUGGAUUGCACGAAAGGUUGAUCUCAAAUUAAAGAGUUUGUCUCCUUCCUUGUAUUCCUGGGCUGCACAGAUAACACUCAACUGAGCUCUCCUCCCUGUGAAGCAAAAGCACCAGUCCCAGAUCUUGAUCUGCUCCAAUAAAUGUUUAAAUAUUCUGCACAAAAAUACUGUCAUCGAUACUGUUCUCUCUUAUGUAGUAAACAAGUGUUCAUCCAGCAUGGAAAUACACAAAUCCCCUGGAAGAGCUUUCCAGCACAGGAUGAAGGUCUUUCUCUGCAUAAGCAAAUUCAAACCUCCUCAUACCACAGCCACACAAACUGUAUCCAAAAAGAUCAGGAAAAAGAGACCCAGGGCUUCCUCUAUGUUCUCUCCCCAUCUACAAGUACAGAGAAAAUUCCACCACAAUGAAACUCAGCCUUUUAAAUUAAUAUACUGGAAAAAAAAAAAAGGAACCUUAUUUGGUACUACUGGAAAUAGCAGCUAGCACUCAUUCCUCCAACUCCUUUCAGAAGCCACAGUGCAAAGCCCUACCUGCCCAGGCAUGCAGGAGUCAGCAUACGCACCCUGGGUUGCAAGUCAUGCAUCUACUGAGAGGAGAAUGUUUGGUAUAAGCAGUCCUUGUCCAGUGCCUCAGCCCAGCUCCUCUGUGACACUCACCUCACAGUGAUAACAUUCCACAUGGUAAUCUUUGUCCAUUGACACUACUCUGAUGGUUUCUUCAGAUCCCUGUUGGAAAAGCACAGAAAAGGUAAGAGUGGGCUUUUAAGUGGUGUUUUCUCAAUCUUCUUUCAGUAUGUUGCCCAACAUACAGCUAUGGAAAGGUGCUUCUGUGUGAGAUAUCCCUUCUCCUUUCGUAGAACAGAUCUCUGUAACUGCUGAGGGUCUUCCCCUCCAUGCACUGCACUGCAGUACCAGUUUUCCUGUUAAGCAGUCCUGUGGAUGUCUAAAAUAGGCUGUAAAGGUAAUUUGGGAAGCAUAGCUAAAAUUUCAUGUUCAAAAGAGAGUUUUUCUCUUGAAAUAAAACAAUUUUCCAAGGGCACCCAGAAGUUGAACAAACUAUAAGCCAAACACUAUGAGAUAAUGACUAGGUGACUAUUCCUAGCAGACUCAUUCCCCUCAAACUAGCUGGUGCACAGCUACUCUGCGUGUGCACAUGGCAGUGUAUGUGCCCUACGGUCCUUUACAUAGCUGUCUAGCAUGUAAUUAUGCACACAGGCCAAAGCCCCAGUGCGAUGAUGGAUGCAGUGGAGCUGUGUAAUACCUGGCAGAGCCCCAGGCUCUGCCAAGCUGCCCAUACCCUUCCUGUAACCUCACAGGUUACAGGAACCUUUCCCUGAGCCACUUCCAUGCCUCUGAAGACGGAGCUCAUUAAAUUUGCUGACCCACACUGUUUCCAGUUCCAGGCGUGGUUAGAGCAUCAGAUAUGACGUAGACUAUGUCUGAGAGAAGCCACGGGCAGGUUAGCACCUGCACUGCUGGAUUUGAA